rnacentral:rRNA from 1 species
UGGGGAAUAUUGCACAAUGGGGGAAACCCUGAUGCAGCGACGCCGCGUGGAGGAAGAAGGUCUUCGGAUUGUAAACUCCUGUCCCAGGGGACGAUAAUGACGGUACCCUGGGAGGAAGCACCGGCUAACUACGUGCCAGCAGCCGCGGUAAAACGUAGGGUGCAAGCGUUGUCCGGAAUUACUGGGUGUAAAGGGAGCGCAGGCGGAUUGGCAAGUUGGGAGUGAAAUCUAUGGGCUCAACCCAUAAAUUGCUUUCAAAACUGUCAGUCUUGAGUGGUGUAGAGGUAGGCGGAAUUCCCGGUGUAGCGGUGGAAUGCGUAGAUAUCGGGAGGAACACCAGUGGCGAAGGCGGCCUACUGGGCACUAACUGACGCUGAGGCUCGAAAGCAUGGGUAGCAAACAGGAUUAGAUACCCUGGUA